AAACCUCACCAGGCCCGGACACCGGAAGGAUUGACAGAUUGAUAGCUCUUUCUUGAUUCGGUGGGUGGUGGUGCAUGGCCGUUCUUAGUUGGUGGAGCGAUUUGUCUGGUUAAUUCCGAUAACGAACGAGACUCUAGCCUGCUAAAUAGGCGUUACUUCUGGUAUCUCGAAGGCCCUCGGCUUCGGUCGAGCGGUUUUUACUACCGACGUACUAACAAAUCUUCUUAGAGGGACAGGCGGCGUCUAGCCGCACGAGAUUGAGCAAUAACAGGUCUGUAAUGCCCUUAGAUGUUCUGGGCCGCACGCGCGCUACACUGAAGGAAUCAGCGUGUCUUCCCUGACCGAAAGGCCCGGGUAACCCGCUGAACCUCCUUCGUGCUAGGGAUUGGGGCUUGCAAUUAUUCCCCAUGAACGAGGAAUUCCCAGUAAGCGCGAGUCAUAAGCUCGCGUUGAUUACGUCCCUGCCCUUUGUACACACCGCCCGUCGCUACUACCGAUUGAAUGAUUUAGUGAGGUCUUCGGACUGGUGCGCGGUAAUGUAAUUCUUACGUUGCCGAUUGCGCCGGGAAGAUGACCAAACUUGAUCAUUUAGAGGAAGUAAAAGUCGUAACAAGGUUUCCGUAGGUGA
rnacentral:rRNA from 1 species